AGAUCUGCCUCAGUGAAGGUGCACGUCCUCUGUCAUCAAGCAGGAAAACAGUCUCAAGUAUAUGGUGUCCAUCCCGGCCAUCCUGCUGGAUCUGCUACAGCCAGGAACAGACGACUGCAAGAGGCUAAACCCACACGUUACUUCUCUACCCUCACACGGCUGACCUGCACAGCGGGCCGCUCCCUGUGCCCCUGCUGCACUUGCAAGUCCUUCCCACUCUCCUUUGCUGAGCUGUGGAAUGGGGCCCAGCCCCUGGAGGGCCUCUGUGCAGACGUCCCCCCUGCCAGUGACAGCCUCCUGUGCGGCAGCCUUGAAGACCUACCUGUGGACUUGCAGAUCCUCAGUUCCUGCAGCUCCCCUGAACCACAGGCUCACGCGUCCAGCCGAGUGUCUAAAAGGCACCUCACAGCUAACAUAUCCCCAGCUGGGCUCCUUAGCUUCCCCCCCAAACACGCGCCAUCUACACACACAUGCAGUUCAGAAAGCGGCAACCCCAUCCUCCCAGUUGCUCAGGCCUAGCUCCUGGGAGUCCUCCUCCACUCCACCUUUUCCUCUAAUCCAUCAGAAAGUCCUGUUGGCUCUACUUUCUCGAAUCUGACUACAGCUCCACCCCUCCAUGCCCUGACCUCGGGCUUGCUUCCUUCAGGUGCCAGAGUUUGCAACCUGUUGGAGAAAAACAACAUCAAGGUAGGAGAAGAAUAAGACUGUGUCUAGUUUGGGACUUCCUACUGAAAAGGGCGUGGAAGUGCUCAUGGAAGACUGGGUGCUCAGAGGUUAGCAGAUGGAUAAAAUGAAAGCCCAGGGGACUUUCUCAGACUCCUGGACAGAGUGUGAACCCUGAGGGCAGGGGACAGGUCAGAGCUGUCAGUGAUGGCUGUGAGGUCUUUAGACCCAGUGUCUCAAUGUGUUUUCUGUUGCUUCAAGAGAGUAUGUAAAAAGAGAGAGAGAGAGAAUAUGUAAGACUGGAUAAUUUAUUUUUCAAAAAGAAGCUUAGUUAGGCCCACAGUUCUGGAGGCUAGGAAGUCCAAGCGCAGGGGCUGUGCCUGGCAUGGAUCUUGUCCUGUACUGCAGUAAGAAAUGUGACCAGAGGUGAGCAUGAAGAAGAGGAAGCUAGAGGAACUGGGCUCACCCAGAAUGAUGGCGGCCCCUCGUGACCUAAUCGCCUGUUGUAGGCCCCUCCUUCAGCUGGGCCACAGGGGCAGUCAGAUUUCCACUGAGUUCCAGAGGAGACAAACAAGCCAUAGCUCCUAAGAAGGCAGCGCUUCCCUUGGGAGAAGCGGCUGUGGGCCCACAGGGGGCUUCCUGCUUUGCCUUCCUUGCUGGCUCCAGGCCUCCCUGCCCCUUUCCCCAGGGCCUCUGCCUGGUGCUCUGAAGCCAUAGCAGCCUUGGCAGAGAGGAUCUAGGAUAUUUUGUUUGUUUUUGUUCAGAUUUACUAGAAUCUUUCAAGCAUAGGAUUCUUCGGAGUUUUUGUUACAUCUCAGUACAGAUUAUAAAAACUUAAAUCCAAUAAAUUGAAGAAUCUAGGAGAAAUAGAUAAACUCCUAGACACAUACAACUUACAAAAACUGAACCAGAAAGGCUCAAAUAUCCAGAGCUAUUCAUAACAAAGAAUUAAAUUGGUUCAGUUAAAAUAAAUAAAUGCAGGGGCUGGGGAUUUAGCUCAGUGGCACAGCG